rnacentral:rRNA from 1 species
GACGAACGCUGGCGGCGUGCCUAAUACAUGCAGGUCGAGCGCAGGAAGUCAUCCGAACCCUUCGGGGGGACGUUGACGGAAUGAGCGGCGGACGGGUGAGUAACACGUAAAGAACCUGCCCUCAGGUCUGGGAUAACCACGAGAAAUCGGGGCUAAUACCGGAUGGGUCAUCGGACCGCAUGGUCCGAGGAUGAAAGGCGCUCCGGCGUCGCCUGGGGAUGGCUUUGCGGUGCAUUAGCUAGUUGGUGGGGUAAUGGCCCACCAAGGCGACGAUGCAUAGCCGACCUGAGAGGGUGAUCGGCCACACUGGGACUGAGACACGGCCCAGACUCCUACGGGAGGCAGCAGUAGGGAAUCUUCCACAAUGGACGAAAGUCUGAUGGAGCAACGCCGCGUGAACGAUGAAGGCCCUCGGGUCGUAAAGUUCUGUUGUAAGGGAAGAACAAGUGCCGCAGGCAAUGGCGGCACCUUGACGGUACCUUGCGAGAAAGCCACGGCUAACUACGUG